AUGACGAGGACUCCGAGACGUACUUCUACCCCUGCCCGUGUGGGGAUAACUUCUGCAUCACCAAGGAAGAUUUGGAGAAUGGGGAAGACGUGGCAACGUGCCCUAGCUGCUCACUCAUUAUUAGAGUGAUUUAUGACAAAGAUCAGUUUACUUGUGGAGAGACAGUCCCAGCCCCCUCCACCAACAAAGAACUAGUUAAAUGCUAAAGAAGACUUCAGGACUUCAAAGCCUGAACUUUUGGGAAUGAGCCAAGGUGGAAGAAUCAAAUGCAGAGUCACUGGCUUCUUCAUGUGGACCAACAUUUUGUAGUUUGCUGUUCAUUAGCGUGUGGAUUCUUUCCAUUGGCGGCUGGGUUCAUCUCCAAUUGAAGAAGCAGGUUCACCACAUGACAUACCCAGGUUUUGUGCUUAGAACUUUAAAAUUGGAAGUGUUCUUAAUUUUCCAUCCACACUUAAAAGAAGAUAAUUUCAAAUCAGUGCUUUCUUUCCCUCAGUUUUGUUGCUUUUAUGACUUACACCUAAUUUCAUUAUCUGACAACAGCAUUAUCUACCUUAAAGUCAUUAAGAUGCUUUAAUUUAAAAAAGGGAUUUUAUUUUUUAGUUGGUCAUUAAGAUUAUUAAAACUAGCCAUUUCUUUAAUUUCACAUCAUCUUUGCUGUUCUAAACUGAAGGAAAUUAGUUGCCUCUUGUCAGUCGGGAUUGCACCUUCAGUUGGCCAUGCCAGUCUUCCAGAGCUAGCAGUUAGUCAAAUGUUUGUGUUCUGUUAAGCAUGCCAUUUCCGUUAUACAACACCUGUUUUUGCUGAAGAUGAAUUUGAAAAUGAGAUGCCUCUUCUAGUUAAAUAUGCGCGUGGGUGGAGAUCCCCAUCCUGACUCAGUGGAAAUGAAUCUGGCUAGUAUCCACAAGGAUGCAGGUUCAAUCCCUGGCCUCUGUCACUGGGUUAGGAAUCCGGCGUUGCCUUGAGCUGUUGUGUAGGUCACAGACACGGCUCGGAUCUGGCAUUGCUGUGGCUGUGUUAUAGGCCAGCGCCUACAGCUCCGAUUCAGCCCCUAGCCUGGGAACCUCCAUAUGCCGAGGGUGCAGCCCUAAAAAAAAAAAAAAAAUAUGCCUUGAGGCUCAUCUGAUAAACUUCUAUAAGCUGCAACCACAUCAGACAUUCACUCUUUGCAGAGAAAUUUUGCCCUGGAGAAAAGCAUAUAAAGAUAAGCUAUCAGUCUUCCUUUGCUACAGUCCUGAGAGUAGCAAGAAAGAGAAUCACUCAUAUAGAAAUUCCAGAAUUCCCUUUAUAUACACACCUUUGCUAUGUGUAUAUAAAGUUAAACAAACCAAUGUCUGGCAGGUUGUUUGGGGAAUGGCUCCUGCAGUUAGAAAAAUAGCUUGCCAAAAUGUGAAAAUUCUGUUACUAACUGAUAAAUGUGCUGAACACACUCUUUGAGGGUCUAAAUUAAAACAGGCAAGUGUUUUUUUUCUCCCUGCUAGCAGCAUAGCUAUGUGGAGCCAUUAGGCUGAGACAUAAUUAACCACCGAAAAUUGAAUGCCAGGACUGCUUGGUACAUUAUAUGAACUAUUAUAUGGCACAUGCUUCAUGUUAGGAGAAACCCCAUCCCCAUUUGAGACACUGAUGCCCCAGGGGUAAUCCACAGUUGUUUUGAAAGCAGUGACGGCUCAGGUGAACAGAGCAGGGUGUGUGUUGACCCUUGGGGAUGAGCUGCAAUGAGAAACUGAGGUUUUGUAGAUACCAAUAACUGAUGAUGAAUUUCAGGCAAUAACAGACAUCCUUGGUGUCAUAGUCUGCUAGAGCACAGAAGAGCAGGAAGAAGUUCCCUAAGUCCAGACGUCCCAGGAGAAAAGAAGCAAAUGGCACUGGCGAUGAAUAAACUGUGAUAAUGAGAACAAUUUUGUUUCCAAAGCAAGUGAAUCACUAAAUCUGUUAACCACAAAAACACAUAUCAGGAUUUAAUGCUAUGUUAAGCAGAAGGUAAAACCAGGUCUUGAAGGUCUGACUAGCAUUCUUUGUGGUGUGUGCCUUGUUUAGCUUAACAGACAUUUCAGAGCCUCUGAGAACUGAUGGUAAUCUAGGCUUUGUCUCUUGCUAGCUUUGUGAUCUUUGGCAAGGCUAGUGGAUUCCUCAUCUGUACAGUUAGGAGACUGGUUCAGGGGGUUUCAAACUCAGUACUAUGAUUUCAGGCUUUGUAGUUUGCAGAAGCUGGAAUAAUAAUUGAAACCUUUCUAAACUAAACAUGAUCUACAAGGAUCAUGCAUGUACUUUAGUGUAUACAUUCAGAACCUUAUUUUGUGGAAAGCACCCAACAUUUUUGAUAACUGUACAUACUAAUUUAUUACCAGAAUAAAUUGUAUUGGCAUGCUAAAUAAAAGAUUAUUUAUAUCCCUUUGUUUUCAUGCAGUAUUCUUCCCCUAGACACCAGUGUUAUGUAUUAAAAGGUUAUAGUGUGAUUUUAUAUGAGGUGGAAAUCUAACCUUCUUUGGGAUAUUAUAAGUAGGUUUCUGAUAUGAACAGUAAGUUUUAAAAUAGGAAAGAAAUUGCCACUCUUUCUACAGUUUGACCACAUGAGUUUUGGUUCUGAAGUUUUAUUGUUAUUCAGGAAAAAAUAGCUUUGAAUUGUGGCAAUAAGGCAAAAAUAGUUGACAUUCUUUCUUUUUUUUUGUCUUUUUGCCUUUUCUAGGGCCGCUCCCUCGGCAUAUGGAGGUUCCCAGAAUAGGGGUCAAAUCAGAGCUGUAGCCACCGGCCUACACUAGAGCCACAGCAAUGUGGGACCCAAGCCGCAUCUGCAACCUACACCACAGCUCACGGCAACACUGGAUCCUUAACCCACUGAGCAAGGCCAGGGAUCGAACCUGCAACCUCAUGGUUCCUAGUCAGAUUCGUUAACCACUACUCCACGACAGGAACUCCAAAAAUAGUUGACAUUCUUAGCCGAGUAAUUCAGUUCAUUGCUAGGAAGGAAGGUUGAUAUUUAAGACUGACGAUCAAUGAGGGAGCCAUCAAAAUGGAGCAGUAGGAUCUGGAGCUCACCUCCUUCCACAAGUACAUCAAAAAUACAUAGACAUGUCAAAUGAUUCUCACAGGACGUCUGAAUGCUAGCAGAAGACCCUAGACUUCUGAAAAGGCAAGAAAAUCUCUACCUAACUGGGUAGGAAAAAAGAAAAGGGGCGGGGGGGAGGACAGGACCUGUACCCCUGGGAGAGAGCUGUUAAAGAGGAAAGGUUCCCACAUCCUGAGAAGUCCCCUCAGAGGCAGGGAUAUCAGGACAGAGGGGGAGUUUUGGAGCCUCACAGGCAUGCACAGCAACCAGUUUGCAGAGGGCAAAAUGGAGAGAGACCUGCUCAGAAGGUUGGUGCCAUGGCCCUGAGCUCCCCAGCGUGAGACUCAUCCACUGGUGCAGGUGGGGUCUGGGCCCUGAAGUUUGGGCUUCAGAGAUCAGACCAGGGGUUAGGGUUGGCCAUAAGAGAUAGCCUGAAGGGGCUGGGGUGUGGUGCAGCCACAACUGAGGGUGCAGCCCAAGAAGACUGGGCCUGCAAGGCCCAUUUGUUGUGGGGAGAUGCAUGAGGGGAAGGGCAGGACUGCCAUAGGAGCCUCUUUGUGUGCAAGCAUGCUAUCAGAUGACAGGGCAUCCACCCCACCCCACCCCCACUCUGGAGGCAGGCAUGAGCCACUACUGCCAUCAUGGGCAUGAGCUGCCUCACCUGCAUACCUCCUAUCACAGGAAUAACAGCCAGCACACUGAAGAAAGAGGUGGAAGGCAUCCAUUCUAAAAACACUCCUCACAUCAAAAAUAGUAAACCCACGGAAGUUACACAGGGAUGCUUCCGCAUAUAAAUAGACUUCUAAGACCACAGUAGAUCAUUGUUUCUCCUAAACUCACAGAGAAAGAGAAAUACAAGUAAAACGAAGAAGCAAAGGAACAACUCCCCGUUAAAAGACCAAGAGAAUUUCCGUGAAAGAACAAUGAAAUAGACCUCUUCUAAUGGACGCUGAGUUAAAAAGGGAGAUAGUGAAAAUACUGAAAGAAAUAAGAAGGGUUAUCAACAGAAACGCAGUUACUGGUAAAAAGAACUAGAAAAAAUAAAUUGGUGUGUUUUGAGGUUUGUUUUUUUUUUUACUUUUUAGGGCCACACCCUUGGCAUAUGGAAGUUCCCAGGCUAGGGGUUGAACUGGGGUUGCAGCUGCUGGCCUACACCACAGCCAUAGCAAUGUGGGAUCCAAGCUGUGUGACCUACACCACAGCUCACGGCAACACUGGAUCCAUAACCUACUGAGCAAGGCCAGGGAUUGAACCUACAUCCUCAUGGAAACUAAUCGGAUUCUUAAUCCACUGAGCCACAGCAGGAACUCCCAAAUUGGUGUUAAAUCUUGUCAAAAGCUUUUUCUGCAUCUAUUGAGAUGACCAUAUGGUUUUUAUUCUUCAGUUUGUUAAUGCGUUGUAUCACACUGAUUGAUUUGUGGAUAUUGAAGAAUCCAUGAAUUCCUGGGAUAAGUCCCGCUUGAACAAGGUAUAUGAUCCUUUUAAUGUACUUUCGGAUUCUGUUUGCUUGUAUUUCACUGAGAAUUUUUGUGUCUAAGUUCAUUACUGAUAUUGGCCUGUAUCAAUCAGCUGUGUAUGGACAGCUGCAUAUAAAUCAAUGAAGUUAGAUUACACAAAAAUAAACUCAAAAUGGCUUAAAGAAUUAAACAUAAGACACAAUACCACAAAACUGGAAGAUAACAUAGGCAACACAUUCUCUGACAUAAAUUGUAGCAAUGUUUUCUUUGGUUAGUUUCCCAAGGCAAUAGAACUAAAAGCAAAAAUAAAACAAAUGGGACCUAAUCAAACUUCCAAGUUUUGGCACAGCAAAGGAAACCAUAAACAAAAAGACAACCCACAGAAUGGGAGAAAAUAUUUGCAAACAAUGCGAUCCAAUUAAGGGCUUAAUUUCCAAAAUAUAUAAAUAGCUCACACAAGUCAGCAACAACAACAAAAACAAACAACCCAAUCAAAAAAUGGUCAGAAGACCUAAACAGAAGAAGAUAUACAGAUGGCAAAGAGGCACAUGAAAAAUAAUGCUUAAAGUCAAUAAUUAUUAGACACGAAUCAAAGCUGCAAAGAGGUGCUACCCUCACACCAAUCAGAAUGCCCGUCAUUUAAAAAGUCUACAAAUAAUAAAUGCUGGAGAGGGUGUGAAGAAAAGAGAACACUCCUACACUGUUGGUGGGAAUGUAAGUUGGUGUAACCGCUAUGGAAAACAGUAUGGAGUUUCCUUAGAAAACUAAAAAUUGAAGUACGAUAUGAUCCAGCAAUCCCACCCCUGGGAAUAUGUCCUCACAAAACUAUAGUUCAAAAAGAUACCAUGUACCCCUAUGCUCAUAUCAGUACUAUUCACAAUAGCCAAGGCAUGGAACAACCUAAAUGUCCAUUGCCAAAUGAAUGGAUAAAGAAGAUGUGGUACACAUAUAAAAUUGAAUAUUACUCAGCCAUAAAAAAAUGAAAUAACGCCAUCUGCAGCAACAUGGAUGGAACUAGAGAUUAUCAUACUAAGUAAAGGAAAUCCAAAAGAGAAAGACAAAUACCAUAUGAUAUCAAUUAUAUGUGGAAUCUAAAAAUGACAAAAAUGAACCUAUCUAUAGAACAGAAACAGUCCCAUAGACAUGAGAACACUGGUUGUCAAGGAGGAGAGGGGUGAGAGAGGGAUGGAAUAGUAUUUGGGGAUUAGCAGAGGCAAAUUGUUAUAUGUUACAUAUAGAAUGGAUACACAACAAGAUCCUUCUGUAUACAACAGGGAAUUAUAUUCAAUUUCCUGUGAUAAACCAUAAUGGAAAAGAAUUUUUAAAAAGAAUGUGUAUAUAUAUAUAUAUAUAUGUAUAACUGCAUCACUUUUCUGUACAGCAGAAAUUAACACAUUAUAAAUCAAUUGUAUGUCAAUAAAAAA
rnacentral:lncRNA from 1 species